CCUACGGGAGGCAGCAGUGGGGAAUAUUGGACAAUGGGCGAAAGCCUGAUCCAGCCAUGCCGCGUGUGUGAAGAAGGCCUUCGGGUUGUAAAGCACUUUCAGUGGGGAAGAAAGCCUUGGGGCUAAAACCCUCGAGGAAGGACAUCACCCACAGAAGAAGCACCGGCUAACUCCGUGCCAGCAGCCGCGGUAAUACGGAGGGUGCGAGCGUUAAUCGGAAUUACUGGGCGUAAAGCGCGCGUAGGCGGUCUGAUAAGCCGGUUGUGAAAGCCCCGGGCUCAACCUGGGAACGGCAUCCGGAACUGUCAGGCUAGAGUGCAGGAGAGGAAGGUAGAAUUCCCGGUGUAGCGGUGAAAUGCGUAGAGAUCGGGAGGAAUACCAGUGGCGAAGGCGGCCUUCUGGACUGACACUGACGCUGAGGUGCGAAAGCGUGGGUAGCAAACAGGAUUAGAUACCCGGGUAGUC
rnacentral:rRNA from 1 species